UUUUUUUUUUUUUUUUUUUUUUUCAUUAAAAAUUGUGCAUUUACUUAUGAUACAAAACGAAGUCUUCACUUCUUGUA
rnacentral:ribozyme from 16 species